CGUGUCAUCACUGUGUAUGUGGUGUGGCCGGCGAACGAUGGCAACCUCGAUCUUUAGGCUGGUGAUCGAUCGAGAGCUUGUCUCUUGAAAUAGAAGCUCGGAGAAGUUCAUUGACUGUGCUUGACAGGGCCACAAUAAUAAGCAUGGACUCUCUAUCCUUCUCUCUGCAUUUGGUUGUCUUCAUUCCAUGUGCUUCUUCUUUGCUGUCCAUCAUUCACAUCUUUGGUUAUUGCUCUGUGUUUGGGGCCCUGCCAGCACGAAGUCGAGGGUGUACGGCAGCAACCGGUGAAACUCCUGCUCUUUCCGCAUCUGCAUUGUUCUCAGCUUGAAAGGUUUGAGUAUGGGUAUAUCCAUGUAAACUUGAUAACCAUGUUGUUUUGCCUUGAACAUGCUGGAUAUGGGCUGUCAUCACUAUUCCUUUGCUGGUCAUUCCUUUUUCCGUGUAGACUGAAUUCAUUUGAAGCCCCAUCUAAGUGCUGUUCUAAUUAGCCGUGA